rnacentral:tRNA from 4 species
GGGUCGUUAGCUCAGUUGGUAGAGCAGUUGACUUUUAAUCAAUUGGUCGCAGGUUCGAAUCCUGCACUACCCACCA